UACAGAGGUCUCAAGCGUUGUUCGGAUUCAUUGGGCGUAAAGGGUGCGUAGGCGGCGGGGUAAGUUUGAUGUGAAAUCCCGGGGCUCAAGCCCUGGAAUUGCAUUGAAUACUACCUUGCUAGAGUACCGGAGAGGAAACUGGAAUUUACGGUGUAGCAGUGAAAUGCGUAGAGAUCGUAAGGAAGACCAGUGGCGAAGGCGAGUUUCUGGACGGUAACUGACGCUGAGGCACGAAGGCCAGGGGAGCAAACGGG
rnacentral:rRNA from 1 species